UUGACAAAUAAGUAGAAAAGGCAAACAAACUUUUAUUUUCAUUUUUUUUUAAUUUAUUUAUUUAUUAUUAUUAUUUUUUUUAUUAUUAUUAUUUUCUUUUAUGGUACUUUGAGAAGACAAAUGCAAAACGUAAAAAAAAACUUUUUGAGUUUUUGGAUCUUGAAGAACAAAAGCCAUAAAGAAUUCUAAAAUAAACUACGACAUUUCUUUUGAUUCAUUCUUUUCGACUCACUUUUUCUAUUUUGUUUUCCUAUAUUUUUCCUCUUCUGUUUUUCUUUUUCGUUUUUGCCUACGCACCUUACUCCUAACAGUUUUUUUUUUUACUUUAUUUUAUUUAUUUUUUUUCUUUUUUGAAAAAUCAAUCCGUCAAAUGACCACGUUACCCUUAAAAAUGCAACAGUUAGCACGUAGGGAUGCUUUAGAGGGGAGUCUCCUACAAAGGGCCAUGUGGGUCCCGCUAGAUCUCCGUAUGAUGCACAUAAGCAUGACCUAAAGGCUGACCUACGUUGUGGUUCACUAACAAGGCUNNNNNNNNNNNNNNNNNNNNNNNNNNNNNNNNNNNNNNNNNNNNNUAACACAUAGGAUAAAUACUAUAAACAAAGAGCACGAAAACGCACAAAAGUGAAAAUAACAUCAACAAUAAUCACAAACAAUGCUUAUACACUCAUAAUGCCAAACAAAGCCGAUACGACUCAAAAAUAAGCUCGAAUUCUUAUAUUGUACCCAGCAGAGUCGCCAGAGCUGUCACACCCCUUUAACGUACUCCAAAAAAAUGGUUAUAAUUUAAUGUUCGAAAAGGGUUUUAUUAUUUAAGUGACAAGAAAUGAAAAUUGAUCUCGGAAAAGGAUUAUUUACAUUUUUUACUCAGAGUUGCCACUUGGCAUAAUCUGGCGUGCCAAGUCACCAUUAGAAAAUCCUUUUCAAAACCGUUUGACUCUUUCAACUGGUUUGCGAACAGAGAUUCCGACUAGGAAAUUCUGUUGACCGAGGGGAAGGUAUUAGGCACCUCUCGAUCCCGUGGUUCAACCACGCCCGCUUGGUAGAGUGUAUCGACUAUUUGGCACUAAGAAAUGUACAAACCACACAAGAAGCACGCAAAAUAAUCAAACAAAACAAAACACCCCGAAAUGUAAAGUCCAGUCCAAUUAUUACAACCCAAAAUAAAAAGGGACUGAAAGUAAACCUACGCUAAUCCUAAACUAAUGCUCUACCCGACGCCUCGGGCCUUCACCACGCACGUUCUCCGGGUACAUGAUACCUUGGGGCAUUCCCCGGUGAAUAAAUAUAUACAGAUACUUCGGGACAUUCCCCGGCCAAAUUAUACAAUUGAUUCAAAAGUGAUAAAAUCAAACCAUUCAAUCAAAUUUCCAAAUAUUCAAUCAACCCACAAUCUCUAGAUUUGCCUACCCGACCUACUUCUUGCCUAUUCCAAUCAACGUAUCUUGAUACUACCAAAUUCAAUUAAUGUUUAUUUCAAGUCAAACAACUAAUGAAUCAAACUAAUCAAAUCACCAAUUAUAUCAAAUUUUUAAUUCUCACCCCACAUCCAUUUUUUAACUGCAUGAUUAGUGCAUGCCUCAAUUUUCCAAUCACAUCUCAUAAUCCGAAACCAACAUCAAACACAAAACAAACAACGAAGAUUCAAACCAAACACACAAUAAAUAAAUCAUCCACACCCACAACAUCAAUAAAGAGUCAAGAUAAAGUAAAGAUGGUAGAAGAAAUGGACCUCAAUGAAACUGAUCCUUGUCGAUAAUAAAGAAAUUCGAGACCGAAAUCCUCGAAUCAGGGAACCCAGCGACGAACACACAAAAUCAGUGUCCUGACAUCGCCAUCCGAAUAGAAUUCAAACCAAGAAGAAAAACCUCGAACAUAAAAUCCAAACUCCGAAUGUUUACACGAUUUAAUCACGAAAAAAAAAACCCCAAAAGCACGAGAUCAAGAACGAAUCAAGAAAAUAGACGAUCCCGAAGCCCCGAAAUCUAACAGUGAACUAAAGGUCAGUCCAAAUCCGAACUCCAGUAAGGUACGAAGGGCAAAAAACCAACAAAACAAGACGGAUUCCGGUGAAACCUUGCAUUUUCCGACCAAGAUGUCCCUAAAUCAAAGGAAGAUCAAGAGAUUUCCGCGAUUAUGAGACUGAUUCGACCGAACUGAUGACGGAAAAACUGAUUCCGGCGUAGGUGUUGCCGGAAAAAGCUCAAAAGGGAUCCGGGCUUCUUGCCGUUUUCCUUGUUUCGUCACCGAACCUCCGUCAAAUACCCUCCAUGCUAUCGUUUCUUCUUACUGCGGGCAUGUGUGCGUGUGUGUGAGUGACCAUGAAGAAGCCGAUGGUCAGUGGAGUAGAAGCCCCUUUCCCGUUUUUUUUUUUUAAUGGAAUCCUCUGCUUUUUUUUUUUGUCAAAAAAAAAAAUGCUGAAUAUGUCCCUUUGUGUAUGUAUAUAUAUAUGAGGUGAGGGUGGGGUAGUGAGGUAGGGUAGGUGGGGUCACGUGGGGUAGGGGUAGGUGUGAUGUGUUUUAUUUUGACUGGGUAGGUUGUUAGGAUGUGUUGUCAAUUUUUGGUUGGGUGGGUUGUUAGAAUAUUAGGAUAUGACAAAAUUAGUUAGGGGAUUGUUAUUUUUGUUAUUUGUGGAGGGAUUAUCACACGGGUGAGGGUACACGGUAGGAUAACAUAGAAUGGGUAAAAGUGAAUAAAAUUGAACUUUAAGAGAGACGAAAUCACGUGUCUACAACAACUACACCAUUAACAUCUAAAAACAGCCACUAAACUAAGUUGAAAACAUGGCUAAAAAAGCUGGAUAAUGUCCAACAAUUUCUCCUACUUUUACUGCAGUAACUGAGGCAAUAAUCAACAGAAAUUGGUGACUUAGUCUUGGACCACUUGGUUUAUGAUAUGGCUCAACCUCUUUCAUUAAAACUAGACAACCAGACAUGUUCACAUUUCUGAAGGUCCCAUACUAAACAAAAGCACAUGGUCUGCCUACUUAUCUCAAGUAGGAAACUUUAGCUACAAUUCAAAUUAGCCUUAAGUCCUUAACUUUAUAUAAAAUUUCUUCCAUCAGAC
rnacentral:lncRNA from 1 species